CUGGCAGCCGGGGACGGAGCGCGCCACGCUGCGCGGUGGAGAGCGGCCGGCCGCGGGGCUGCGGCUCCAGCGGGCGCGGCCCGGCCCCGGACUACAGCUCCCGGCAGCCGCGGCGCCGCCGGAAGCGCGGCCCGGUCGCGGCGCGCAGGCCGCAGCGCGGGGGAUUUGGACUCGGUGCCGGCCGGGCGGCGAGGCCGUGGGGCGCGGGCCGGGCCGCCAUGGCCCUGGUGCCCGAGCCGCCGUGGCCGGAGCGCCUGUCCCCGCUGAAGGCCGUGGAUGACUUGCUGCGGUGCGGGAUAUGCUUCGACUACUUCAGCAUUGCGAUGAUCAUUCCACAGUGCUCGCACAACUAUUGUUCCCUUUGUAUACGCAAGUUUUUAUCCUACAAAACUCAAUGUCCAACAUGCUGUGUGGCAGUCUCAGAAUCGGACCUGAAAAAUAACCGGACAUUAGAUGAACUAGUAAAGAGCUUUAAUUCUGCAAGACAACAGCUGUUCCAGUUGGUCUUGGAUACUCCACCGAUUUCAUCCCCAUUGGCCCAUAGCAGGCAUUCAGCUGGCAAAAAACAUGUCAGCAGUCCUGUUUCUUGGCCAGGUUUGAAAGAGGAGAUGCCAGUGAUUGACAGUUUCUUGAGAAAGGAAAAAGUCUGCACCUCAACAAAGGCAGACGGCCUGGCAGGAACAGAUCGGAAGAUUUUCAAAACUGAAGAGCAUGAUAACCUUUACAGCAGUUCUGCAGAUGUUGAUGGUAAAGACAAUGAAGUGGGAUCACGAGAGAGUCCUGAGAGCACCAAAAGUCAUGAAGAGCCUUCUACAUCUGAGGUAAAAGUAGCCAAGAAAGUGGAUUGUCCUGUUUGUGAGGUUGCUAUUCCAGAGCAAUAUAUAAACCAACAUCUGGAUAGCUGCUUGAUAAGAGAAGAGAAGAAGGACAGCCUCAGAAGUUCUGCUCACAAAAGGAAGCCUAUGUCAAAAGUUGUUUACAACUUGCUCUCUGAUCGUGAACUGAAGAAGAAACUAAAGGAACAUGGUCUGUCAACCAAUGGGACCCGACAACAGCUCAUUAAAAGACACCAGGAAUUUGUGCACAUGUAUAAUGCUCAAUGUGAUUCUCUAAAUCCCAAAUCUGUUGCAGAGGUUGUUAAACAGCUGGAAAAGAAUGAGAAGAUUCGGAUUCAGUUUGAAUUUAACAAAACUGGUGAAAAAAGCUUGACCUUCACAAAGGACCAGACAGAGCAAGAAAUAGAUGAGAUCCACACUGAUUAUCGAAAAAAGCACAGAAAAGAAUUUAAAUUUUUGGUGGAUCAAGUAAAUAGUCGGUGGAAGAAAAGUGGUAAGAGGAAAACAGGAAGUGCUCAAAACAAAGAAGUCGCUGACAAAGAAUCGCCAGCAGCCACAGAACAUAGGGAAGAGAAUCACACGGCUGUUGUCCUCGGAAAAGCCCAGAUAAUCAAACCAGAAACUCCUGAUGGCAAAAGAAAUGAAUCUUCUUCCUUGGAGGAAAGCCAGAGAUCAGUCUCUCCUGUGUUCUCACUGUCGUCUGGAUCAACAAGCAGCUCCAGUUCAGACAUUCUGAGAGAUCCGCAAGGGCCUGAGAUGUGUUCAGCAGCCUCUGCCAAGAGAAGGAAAUGCCUCUGAAAAGUCAGGCUCUUGGAGAAUCUCCACAGUUGCGAGACACACAAUUUGGUCAGCAUUUUUUGGAUCCUUGGAAAAUAAUACCUGGGUGCUGCUAGGGUCCACAGAUGACCAGCGGAAAAUCAUUGUUUUGAGCAGCAGUUUUCUGGGUCUGAGAGUUAACAAAAGUAAGUCACGUCAGCUCCAAAUGCCAGGAAACGAUCAGCUGCUUCCCAAGAGUAAGCGGAAGAAGAGGUAACCCUGCAGUGAUGUGAAGCCUAAAACUGUGCGGAAGGCUUAAGACUGAGAAAAUACUUGUUAGUUUUUUCAUUUUCAGUGUAUCUGGGUACUUAAUAAAAUGCUGAAUUUUCACAUAACUAUCAUUCAAACUGCCUUAAAAUAGCCA